GGCAGCACAGGUAGCAAUACUGGGUGGCGACCGGCGCACGGGUGCGUAACACGUAUACAAUCUGCCCAUAUCAGGAGAAUAGCCCAGAGAAAUUCGGAUUAAUGCUCCAUAACAUAAUGAAACGGCAUCGUUUUAUUAUUAAAGUUCCGACGGAUAUGGAUGAGUAUGCGGAUGAUUAGCUAGUUGGCAGUGUAAUGGACUACCAAGGCUACGAUCAAUAGGGGUACUGAGAGGUUAAACCCCCACACUGGUACUGAGACACGGACCAGACUCCUACGGGAGGCAGCAGUAAGGAAUAUUGGACAAUGGUGGCAACACUGAUCCAGCCAUGCCGCGUGCAGGAUGAAGGCGCUACGCGUUGUAAACUGCUUUUGUACGGGAGAAAACCUAUCUACGUGUAGAUAGCUGAUAGUACCGUAAGAAUAAGCAUCGGCUAACUUCGUGCCAGCA
rnacentral:rRNA from 1 species